CGGUGAGCCACCAGCCCUAAAACACACACGGAGGACAUUUUUUUCAGUCAAGAAAUAAUCGAGCCUAGGUGAUUUUAUGAAGACUACAGAAGCUUAUUUACAAACUCAGAGACCAGUAACAUAAAGUCCGAAGUCCUGUGCCUACGACGUGGUGUCGCUGCCAGAAGCACGGCGGAUGGCAGGCAUGUGCAGAGAGAGAGGCAAAGAGACCAAGGAUCAGAAUGGCUGCAUA